rnacentral:rRNA from 1 species
CGAACGCUGGCGGCGUGCUUAACACAUGCAAGUCGAACGGAAAGGCCCUGCUUUUGUGGGGUGCUCGAGUGGCGAACGGGUGAGUAACACGUGAGUAACCUGCCCUUGACUUUGGGAUAACUUCAGGAAACUGGGGCUAAUACCGGAUAGGAGCUCCUGCUGCAUGGUGGGGGUUGGAAAGUUUCGGCGGUUGGGGAUGGACUCGCGGCUUAUCAGCUUGUUGGUGGGGUAGUGGCUUACCAAGGCUUUGACGGGUAGCCGGCCUGAGAGGGUGACCGGCCACAUUGGGACUGAGAUACGGCCCAGACUCCUACGGGAGGCAGCAGUGGGGAAUAUUGCACAAUGGGCGGAGGCCUGAUGCAGCAACGCCGCGUGCGGGAUGACGGCCUUCGGGUUGUAAACCGCUUUCGCCUGUGACGAAGCGUGAGUGACGGUAAUGGGUAAAGAAGCACCGGCUAACUACGUG